GAUUCUGGCUCAGGAUGAACGCUAGCGGCAGGCUUAACACAUGCAAGUCGAGGGGCAGCAUAAUGGAUAGCAAUAUCUAUGGUGGCGACCGGCGCACGGGUGCGUAACGCGUAUGCAACCGUACCUUUAACAGGGGGAUAACACUGAGAAAUUGGUACUAAUACCCCAUAAUAUCAUAGAAGGCAUCUUUUAUGGUUGAAAGUUCCGAUGGUUAGAGAUGGGCAUGCGUUGUA
rnacentral:rRNA from 1 species